rnacentral:lncRNA from 1 species
GUACGCUGAGAGUCGGGAAGCAAGGACAGGGAGUGAAUCAUUUAAUUAAUAAAUGACCAUAGAACAAAACAAGAAACACGGGCAGCGUACAGAAAUGAAACACAAACAGAGUCAAUAACGCCUGGGGAAGGAACCAAAGGGAGUGACAGAUAUAGGGAAGGUAAUCAGGAAGAAGACGGAGUCCAGGUGAGUCUGAUGAGGCGAGUAACGAUGGUGACAGGUGUGCAUAAUAUUGAGCAGCCUGGUGACCUAGAGCGCCGGAGAGGGAGUAUACGUGACAGUACCGGCUCCAGCCGCAGCACGCCGACGAUCCCGGGGACCAGGAGCGGACCGGUGGCCUCUGCUGAGGCGCGGGAGCCUGCCGAGUCUACCGAGUCUUGUGAACCUGGCGAGCCAGCUAAAGCAUGGAAGCCUGACGAGCUAGUUGAGAAAUCCUCGGUAGACUCGGCAACAGACGCUUGACUGGCCAACCGAGUCUUGUGAACCUGAUGUGCCGGCUGAGGGUGGACCCGACGUCACCUACCAACACAAAAAACACUCCCUGAUGCUCCCCUUUGGGGAGGCGUUAUUCUGUAACGUGUACGUUGAGAGUCAGGAAGCAAGGACAGGGAGUGAAUAAUUUAAUUAAUAAAUGACCAUAGAACAAAACAAGAAACACGGGUAGCGUACAGAAAUGAAACACAAACAGAGUCAAUAACGCCUGGGGAAGGAACCAAAGGAAGUGACAGAUAUAGGGAAGGUAAUCAAGGAGGUGAUGAAGUCCAGGUGAGCUGUGAACCCCUAAUUACAGGUGAGCUGUGAACCCAUAAUUACAGGUGAGAUGUGAACCCCUAAUUACAGGAGAGCUGUGAACCCCUAAUUACAGGUGAGCUGUGAACCCAUAAUUACAGGUGAGAUGUGAACCCCUAAUUACAGGUGAGAUGUGAACCCAUAAUUACAGGUGAGCUGUGAACCCAUAAAUAGGGACUGUGUCAACUCUGUUAGCAGAAAGUUUGCCAAAUCUGCCAAUUGCAACAAUUGAUUUCCUUCCAGAAAUGCUUUAUUGAAGACUUAGCUUUCCACUCAUGUUCCAGGUAAUUCGGGGGGAUUGCAUCCAUUGCCAUGGGCUUCAGUUAUCGCUGCGAUCCCAUCUUAGGCUGCAUGAAAGGGCACGUCGAACCAGGAAUAAUAAUGAAUAAGGCCGAGUGCCAUUCAGUCUAGGUCCACAGGGGCCUAGCGGUAUACAGGCUCCACAGCCAUGUCUUCUCCCCCUAUCUGACACUCAGAGUGACAUGACUAUAUCUCAUUAUCUCCACUGUAAGGCCUGUGAAAUAUAUCAGGAUACAUGUUAUGUCUUUGAUACAUGCAGCUUUAAAAAUUCUAUUUGUUCUGUCUUUGUAAGAGUUCAUGCACCUGUUGGCUGGAGCUGCGAAGGCACAGUAGCCUAGUGGUUCAGAACGGUAGAGUUAGUGUUAUAACACCAACCCAAACGUUGCUGGUUCAAAUCCCUAAGCUGACUAGGUGAGAAUCUGUCAAUGUACCCUUGAGCAAGACACAUCUUGAUCCACUCUGGCUAGUUGCUCUGGAUAAGAGUGUAUGUAGUGAAUGUUUUAGUUUAGAAUUUAUUGGUGUCCCUUUGCUGCUUGAAAAGUCUUUGGCAAAGAAGUUCAACUUAGUACAGUGUGAUUUGCAUGUGAAUGUCAAAGAGACCAAGCUCAGUAGAACUGAAAGAAUGGAUACGAGGAGAAGUAGGAGAAGCAGUGGAGUAAUAGAGGAAAGCAAUGGAGCAAGCCCACUGCUUGGCUUGCUUUAAACUGUUCAGCUGCCUAGUUGUCAUUAUAUUAAUUUAGAUGAAGGAAAUGAAACAAGGAGAGGAAGCUACUUUAGACUAUUUAAUUCAGCUCAUAAAAUGACACAGCCUAAAUACUUCCCAGCACAUAGUCUAUCUCUCUCCUGCUCUCCAUCUCUCUGUCGAUCUCUUUCUCUGUCCAUCUCUCUCUCUGUCCAUCUCUUUCUCUGUACAUCUCUCUCUGUCCAUCUCUUUCUCUGUCCAUCUCACUCUCUUUCCAUCUCUUUCUCUGUCCAUCUCUCUCUCUGUCCAUCUCUUUCUCUGUCCAUCUCUCUCUGUCCAUCUCUUUCUCUGUCCAUCUCUCUCUGUCCAUCUCUUUCUCUGUCCAUCUUUCUCUGUCCAUCUCUCUCUCUGUCCAUCUCUUUCUCUGUCCAUCUCUCUCUGUCCAUCUCUUUCUCUGUCCAUCUCUCUCCCUGUCCAUCUCUUUCUCUGUCCAUCUCUUUCUCUGUCCAUCUUUCUCUGUCCAUCUCUCUCUAUCUCUCUCUCUGUCCAUCUCUCUCUCUGUCCAUCUCUCUCUCUGUCUGUCUCUCUCUCUGUCCAUCUCUCUCUGUCCAUCUCUUUCUCUGUCCAUCUUUCCCUGUCCAUCUCUUUCUCUGUCCAUCUCUUUCUCUGUCCAUCUCUUUCUCUGUCCAUCUCUCUCUCUGUCCAUCUCUCUCUCUGUCCAUCUCUCUCUGUCCAUCUCUCUCUCUGUCCAUCUCUUUCUCUGUUCAUCUCUCUCCCUGUCCAUCUCUCUCUCUGUCCAUCUCUUUGUCUGUCCAUCUCUCUCUCUGUCCAUCUUUCUCUGUCCAUCUCUCUCUCUGUCCAUCUCUUUCUCUGUCCAUCUCUCUCUCUGUCCAUCUUUCUCUGUCCAUCUCUCUCUCUGUCCAUCUCUUUCUCUGUCCAUCUCUCUCUCUGUCCAUCUUUCUCUGUCCAUCUCUCUCUCUGUCAUCUCUUUCUCUGUCCAUCUCUCUGUCCAUCUUUUUCUCUGUCCAUCUCUUUCUCAGUCCAUCUCUUUCUCUGUCCAUCUUUCUCUGUCCAUCUCUCUCUCUGUCCAUCUCCCUCUCUGUCCAUCUCCCUCUCUGUCCAUCUCUUUCUCUGUCCAUCUUUCUCUGUCCAUCUCUCUCUCUCUCUGUCCAUCUCUUUCUCUGUCCAUCUCUCUCUCUGUCCAUCUUUCUCUGUCCAUCUCUCUCUCUGUCCAUCUCUUCCCUGUCCAUCUCUCUCCUGCUCUCCAUCUUUCUCUGUCCAUCUUUCUCUGUCCAUCUCUCUCUCCUGCCCUCCACAUAUUGCCAAAGCUUACUUUUGAUAUUUACAAUAUCAAAAUAGCAAUAACAAUAACAGUAGCAAUAAGCAUACAGUAGAGGACAUGUGCAGGUUGAUUGGUCUGUCAGACACUGUCAAUCAUCUUAUGGCAGGCAGCAAUGUAGUGCUCUCUCUCUCUGUCUCUCUCUCUCUGUCCGUCUCUCUCUCUUUCUUUGUCUCUCUCUCUCUCUCUCUCUCUCUCUCUCUCUCUCUCUCUCUCUGUCUAUCUCUCUUUCUCUCUCUGUCUGUCUGUCUCUGUCUCUCUCUCUCUCUGUCCAUUUCUCUCUCGCUCUCUCGCUCUCUCUCUCUCUCUCUCUCUCUCUCUCUCUCUCUCUCUCUCUCUCUCUCUCUCUCUUUCUCUCUCAAUCUGUCCGUCUCUCUCUCUUUCUCUCUCAAUCUGUCCGUCUCUCUCUCUCUCUCUCUCUCUCUCCAAUUCAAGGGGCAUGGGAAACAUAUGUUAACAUUUCCAAAGCAAGUGAAGUAGAUAAUAUACAAAAGUGAAAUAAACAAGAAAAAUGAACAGUAAACAUCACACUCACAGAAGAUCCAAAAGAAUAAAGACGUUACAAAUGUCAUAUUAUGUAUAUAUACUGUGUUGUAACGAUGUACAAAUGGUUAAACUGCAAAAGGGAAAAUAAAUAAAAUAAAUAAGCAUAAAUAUGGGUUGUAUUUACAAUGGUGUUUGUUCUUCACUAGUUGACCUUUUCUUGUGGCACAGGUCACAAAUAUUGCUGCUGUGAUGGCACACUGUGGUAUUUCACCCAAUAGAUAUGAGAAUUUACCAAAAUCGGGUUUCUUUUCAAAUUCUUUGUGGGUCUGUGUAAUCUGAGGGAAAUAUGUGUCUCUAAUAUUGUCAUACAUUUUGCAGGAGGUUAGGAAGUGCAGCGCAGUUUCCACCUAAUUUUUUUGGGCAGUGUGGACAUAGCCUGUCUUCUCUUGAGAGCCAUGUCUGCCUACAGUGGCCUUUCUCGAUAGCAAGGCUAUGCUCACUGGAGUCUGUACAUAGUCAAAGCUUUCCUUAAGUUUGGGUCAGUCACAGUGGUCAGGUAUUCUGCCACUGUGUACUCUCUGUUUAGGGCCAAACAGCAUUCUAGUUUGCUCUGUUUUUUUGUUAAUUCUUUCCAAUGUGUCCAGUAGUUACCUUUUUGUUUUCUCAUGAUUUGGUUGGGUCUAAUUGUGUUGCUGUCCUGGGGCUCUGUGGGGUGUGUUGUGUUUGUGAACAGAGCCCCAGGACCAGCUUGCUUAGGGGACUCUUUGCCAGGUUCAUCUCUCUGUAGGUGAUAUGGUGGCAAAAUUGCAAGAUUAUGUUAUAAUACUUUUAUUGCAUGAAAUGGUUGUGUUAUGCAACAGAAUAGAGUAUUCUGUUAACUAUUGUGUGUGUGUUCUACUGAGGAUGGGCCACUGGGAGAUAACACUGACAGAGGAGAUUUAUGAGGUCUUUUGGGUGAUAAAACCUAAAGAGCAUUCCAGAGCAUGAGUUAAUGUUUCUGUUCUAUACCGUACCAGGGAGAGAUGGUUCCAGUUUGGAGUCAGAGGGACAGACUCUGGUCUAUACAAUGAAAACUGUUGACACAGCAGAUACUGUAUGCUAUGUAUUAUAGGUAUCUUUCAUCCAGAUCUUAACCUUGUGACCCAUUCUAUAUAUCUGUUGUUGGUCAUGUAGGUUGAAAGGGGGGUAUCUUGGCUAUAAAAGACAUGGUGUAUCGUCGACCAGCCAUUGUUAUUGCAAAGCUCUCACUAAUAAAGAUUCAGUUUAACUAUAA